UAAUCGGUCCUUUUUAGGGCCACAAAACAUAAAACGUUGCAUAUCAU
rfam:Cerapachys biroi unplaced genomic scaffold scaffold413, whole genome shotgun sequence.